rnacentral:rRNA from 1 species
UACGUAAGGGGCAAGCGUUGUCCGGAAUCAUUGGGCGUAAAGAGCGCGUAGGCGGCCCUGUAAGUCCGCUGUGAAAGUCAAGGGCUCAACCCUUGAAUGCCGGUGGAUACUGCAGGGCUAGAGUCCGGAAGAGGCGAGUGGAAUUCCUGGUGUAGCGGUGAAAUGCGCAGAUAUCAGGAGGAACACCGAUGGCGAAGGCAGCUCGCUGGGACGGUACUGACGCUGAGGAGCGAAAGCGUGGGGAGCGAACAGG